rnacentral:rRNA from 1 species
UGGAUUUUAAAUUGACUGAGCGGCGGACGGGUGAGUAACGCGUGGAUAACCUGCCUCACACAGGGGGAUAACAGUUAGAAAUGACUGCUAAUACCGCAUAAGCGCACAGUACCGCAUGGUACAGUGUGAAAAACUCCGGUGGUGUGAGAUGGAUCCGCGUUGGAUUAGCUAGUUGGUGAGGUAACGGCCCACCAAGGCGACGAUCCAUAGCCGGCCUGAGAGGGUGAACGGCCACAUUGGGACUGAGACACGGCCCAAACUCCUACGGGAGGCAGCAGUGGGGAAUAUUGCACAAUGGGCGAAAGCCUGAUGCAGCGACGCCGCGUGAGUGAAGAAGUAUCUCGGUAUGUAAAGCUCUAUCAGCAGGGAAGAAAAUGACGGUACCUGACUAAGAAGCCCCGGCUAACUACGUGCCAGCAGCCGCGGUAAUACGUAGGGGGCAAGCGUUAUCCGGAUUUACUGGGUGUAAAGGGAGCGCAGACGGCGAUGCAAGUCUGGAGUGAAAGCCCGGGGCUCAACCCCGGGACUGCUUUGGAAACUGUAUGGCUAGAGUGCUGGAGAGGCAAGCGGAGUUCCUAGUGUAGCGGUGAAAUGCGUAGAUAUUAGGAGGAACACCAGUGGCGAAGGCGGCUUUCUGGACGGUGACUGACGUUGAGGCUCGAAAGCGUGGGG